UCACAAAGAAAUGUUGACUGUAACGUGUCAUGUUCUAAUUGGACAUGAAAAGGUGCGCCCAAGAGCCAACUCUAACAAUUUUCUGUUCAUCGUCCAAUCAGAAUGUGACACGUGACAAUCAACUUUU
rfam:Glycine soja cultivar W05 scaffold1367_15, whole genome shotgun sequence.